UUUUGCAUUAAACUGUGUAAAUACAUCUAAAUGCCACUUCAGGUGCAGCAUCAGUGCCACUUCUGCAGUGCAGAGAUGGAUUUU